GACGAACGCUGGCGGCGUGCCUAGCACAUGCAAGUCGAACGGAGAUAUUAAUGAAGCUUGCGAUUUGAUAUCUUAGUGGCGGACGGGUGAGUAACGCGUGGGUAAUCUACCUAUCAGUGGGGGACAACAGUUGGAAACGACUGCUAAUACCGCAUAUCUUAAGCAAUUAAGAAAGAUGGCCUCUGAAUAUGCUGUCGCUAAUAGAUGAGCCCGCGUCUGAUUAGCUAGUUGGUGGGGUAAAGGCCUACCAAGGCGACGAUCAGUAGCCGGCCGGAGAGGGUGAACGGCCACACUGGGACUGGAACACGGCCCAGACUCCUACGGGAGGCAGCAGUGGGGAAUAUUGCGCAAUGGGGGAAACCCUGACGCAGCGACGCCGCGUGAGCGAAGAAGGCCUUAGGGUUGUAAAGCUCUGUUUUAAGGGACGAAUGUUACGGGGAGUAGUAUGCCCUGUAAAUGACGGUACCUUAAGAGGAAGCCCCGGCUAACUACGUGCCAGCCGCCGCGGUAACAC
rnacentral:rRNA from 1 species